rnacentral:rRNA from 1 species
CCUACGGGUGGCUGCAGUGAGGAAUAUUGGUCAAUGGACGAGAGUCUGAACCAGCCAAGUAGCGUGAAGGAUGACUGCCCUAUGGGUUGUAAACUUCUUUUAUAAAGGAAUAAAACGAGGCACGUGUGCCUUUUUGUAUGUACUUUAUGAAUAAGGAUCGGCUAACUCCGUGCCAGCAGCCGCGGUAAUACGGAGGAUCCGAGCGUUAUCCGGAUUUAUUGGGUUUAAAGGGAGCGUAGAUGGGUUGUUAAGUCAGUUGUGAAAGUUUGCGGCUCAACCGUAAAAUUGCAAUUGAUACUGGCAGUCUUGAGUACAGUUGAGGUAGGCGGAAUUCGUGGUGUAGCGGUGAAAUGCUUAGAUAUCACGAAGAACCCCGAUUGCGAAGGCAGCUUACUAAACUGUGACUGACAUUGAUGCUCGAAAGUGUGGGUAUCAAACAGGAUUAGAUACCCCAGUAGUC